rnacentral:rRNA from 1 species
UUAACCUCAAAUCAGGUAGGACUACCCGCUGAACUUUAAGCAUAUCAAAAAGCGGAGGGAAC